GGCUCGGUGGCGGAUGGUCCGCGUCUGUGCGCAGUGCCGCGGUAGAUAUUUCAGCAGAGGAUCCUCGUUCGAUUCGGGGUCGAGCCC